rnacentral:lncRNA from 1 species
CAAUAAUAGAAAUAUGAAUUCAUUUAAUUAUUUCAGACUCAUUUGACAAAAUUUAUCAUAAAAUCGUGGCGAAAGCUGGAGAAAUGUUAAAUGGAUUCAGGACUAUCUGAAUGACUGGACUCAAAACAGGUGAUUGAUAGUUCAGUAUCAACUUGGAGAGAGUUUCCUAAUGAAAUUCCACAAGGCUUUAUCCUUUGUUCUGUGCUAUUCAAAAGAUUUUAGCAGUCACUUGAAUGAAGACAUUGAUAGCAAGGUUAAGAAAUUUAUGAAUGAUCUGAAGCUGGAAGGCUAUUAUAUUGAAUAACAGAAUCAAAGUGAUAAAUUUAGAAGGGUACUCAUGGGGAAGCUAGGUGGCAAAGUGGACAGUGCUGGGUCUGGGAAUCAGGAAGACUCAGUCUUUCUCAGACACUUUCUGGACAUGUGACUCUAGGCAACUCAUUUAAUCCUGUUUAUUUUAGUUUCCUCAUCUACAAAAUGAGCUGGAGAAGGAAAGGAUAAAGCACUACAGUGUCUUUGCCAAGAAAACCCUGUAUGGGGUCACAAAGAGUCAGACAUGACUGAAACAACUAAACAACAAUAACAUUAUGGAUAGUCCUUUAGCAUGCUGAGUGAACGACCUCCAAGUAUGACAACCUUCUGAACCUUCUGUGCUGGUAUCCCAGUAGCUCUGCCUCACCACAAUGAAUAAAGUCUAUCCUCUCCCAUUUCCAACUAAUUCUGUGUGUCAGACACAGAAAUCUCUAUGUACUUCUGUGGAAGAGCAUUGGACGGGAAGUCAGGUAGUCAUGUCAGAAACGUUAUAUUUGGGAUUAUUUUUCAGAAGACAUCACAGCUAAAUGCAAUGACCAGCUAUGACUCCAGAGAACUGAUGGGGAAGCAGGCUACUCACCUCCUACUACAAGAGGGAUGAUGGAUUCAAGGUGCAGAAAGAGACACAUUUCUUGACAUGGCAAAUGUGUGGUUUGUUUCGCUUGACUGUGCUUAUUUGUUACAAGAAUUGUUGAGGUUCGUACGGAGGUGGGAGAAGAGAAGUUUUAGAAAUAUUGUUUCUAAAAAAAGAAAAGAGGAUCAUUGAAGCAUUUUUUUUAAUAUAGAGAAAAAAACAAAAGAAGGUCCAGGAGGAAUCCCAG